AGUGAACGCUGGCGGCGUGCUUAACACAUGCAAGUCGAACGAGAACGGAAUAUAGCUUGCUAUAUUUGUCAGCUAAGUGGCGCACGGGUGAGUAAUGUAUAGAUAACCUGCCCUUAAGAAAGGAAUAACAGUUGGAAGCGACUGCUAAUGCCCUAUAUGCCUUUAAUACAUAAGUAUGCAAGGGAAACGCUUUAGUGCUUAAGGAUGGGUCUGUAUGGUAUCAGCUUGUUGGUGAGGUAAUGGCUCACCAAGGCUAUGACGCCUAACUGGUUUGAGAGGAUGAUCAGUCACACUGGAACUGAGACACGGUCCAGACUCCUACGGGAGGCAGCAGUGGGGAAUAUUGUACAAUGGACGAAAGUCUGAUGCAGCAACGCCGCGUGGAGGAUGACACAUUUCGGUGCGUAAACUCCUUUUAUAUAGGAAGAUAAUGACGGUACUAUAUGAAUAAGCACCGGCUAACUCCGUGCCAGCAGCCGCCGUAACAC
rnacentral:rRNA from 1 species